UCGGGAAUUUUGGGCAAUGGGCGCAAGCCUGAUCCAGCCAUGCCGCGUGAGUGAAGAAGGCCUUCGGAUUGUAAAGCUCUUUUGGCGGGGACGAUAAUGACGGUACCCGCAGAAUAAGCCCCGGCUAACUUCGUGCCAGCAGCCGCGGUAAUACGAAGGGGGCUAGCGUUGUUCGGAAUUACUGGGCGUAAAGCGCACGUAGGCGGACUGAUAAGUCAGGGGUGAAAUCCCGGGGCUCAACCUCGGAACUGCCUUUGAUACUGUUAGUCUCGAGUCCGGAAGAGGUGAGUGGAAUUCCUAGUGUAGAGGUGAAAUUCGUAGAUAUUAGGAAGAACACCAGUGGCGAAGGCGGCUCACUGGUCCGGUACUGACGCUGAGGUGCGAAAGCGUGGGGAGCAAACAGGAUUAGAUACCCACGUAGUCCCUGAGCGGGCUGGCAAGGCGCAU
rnacentral:rRNA from 1 species